CCUACGGGAGGCAGCAGUGGGGGAUAUUGCACAAUGGGGGGAACCCUGAUGCAGCGACGCCGCGUGGGUGAAGAAGCGCCUCGGCGCGUAAAGCCCUGUCAGCAGGGAAGAAAAUGACGGUACCUGACGAAGAAGCCCCGGCUAACUACGUGCCAGCAGCCGCGGUAAUACGUAGGGGGCAAGCGUUAUCCGGAUUUACUGGGUGUAAAGGGGGCGCAGACGGCGAUGCAAGCCAGGAGUGAAAGCCCGGGGCCCAACCCCGGGACUGCUCUUGGAACUGCGUGGCUGGAGUGCAGGAGGGGCAGGCGGAAUUCCUGGUGUAGCGGUGAAAUGCGUAGAUAUCAGGAGGAACACCGGUGGCGAAGGCGGCCUGCUGGACUGCAACUGACGUUGAGGCCCGAAGGCGUGGGGAGCAAACAGGAUUAGAUACCCCAGUAGUC
rnacentral:rRNA from 1 species